ACUGAGCAACAUUCUAACCACUGCCUACCUGCCUACUAAUCUUUACUAAAAAGGCUCUGUCUUGUUGGUUAGCUGACAGCUUUCACUAAGCCAUCUAUCUGACCAUAGUUAUCUGUGUGACUAACAGAGAUGAAUGGAUUAAGGCCUUUUGCCAGGGUGAGUGUCUGGGUGAUAAUUUCUCUCCUCAUUCUUCACAGCUCUGGAACACAUCCCCUGCUCCUGCCUCCGCACCUUCUCCCAUCUGGAACACAUUAAGGGGUUUCAUAAGCAGAUGUAACUUAGCAUACUUCCUGACCUAGCACCCAAUGUAUAGUUUCAUGAACUUGUUCAUAUGUGAACUGCAUGUUUCUGGGGAGUGUGUUGGUAGCUUCCAUCAUACUCUCAGAAGAGUCAGUAAACCAAGAACCACAGCACAAAUGAGACCUUCAGAAAACUCUCAGAUGGCUCAGACUGCCCCCAAACACCACUUUACUGCUUUUCUUUUUAAAUUUAUUAUACUUUUUUACAUGGGUCUAGCAACCAAAGGAAUGUUUUACUGCUUUUCAAAUCUGCUCUGAGAGCCAACUUUGAGAGUUGGAGUUGAGGAUCAGGGCUGCAUGUUAACCUUGUUGGCUGUGAGAAACCUGCACAAGUGGCUUCCAAGAGAGGUCCAAGGGAGUCCAUCUGAUCCUUCCUUGCCUAGUGGUCUCCUUUAGCACAGGACAGCAGAGCAUUCUCUCUGUAGCUCAUUCAGAACCCUUUCACUCUGAACUGAGAGAUAAAGAAUAAGAUGUCAGAUGUGUUUCUGCAUUGGGAUAAGUAAGGACAACGCAUAUCCUGUGGGAAGGAUAGCUUUUACACCCAGAACUGUCUGAGAUUUUACAGUUAAGCUACAUCAAAAACAUUAAAAACAGGGAAACAGAAAUAUCAAGUAAGAAUGAAUCUAGUAGAAAUAUCUCAAAAGAUAAUAACAAUAUGAUUAUAUAUUUGUACUUUGUGUUAAUUAUUUGUGAAAUAUUUUUCUUGCAUGAGGCAAUAGAGGCAACUCCUGCUUCUUUGAGCAGAAUGAGAAUUUAGUUUAAAGAUAUAGGGGAGAAAAUAGAAUAAGUACUGUGG
rnacentral:lncRNA from 1 species